GCCGGGGUGGCGAAAUAGGCAGACGCAAGGGACUUAAAAUCCCUCGGUAUUUUAUACCGUGCCGGUUCAAGUCCGGCCCUCGGCA
rnacentral:tRNA from 1 species